rnacentral:rRNA from 1 species
UACGGGGGGUGCGAGCGUUGUCCGGAAUCACUGGGCGUAAAGCGCACGUAGGCGGCUUUCUAAGUCGGGGGUGAAAUCCUGGAGCUCAACUCCAGAACUGCCUUCGAUACUGGAGAGCUCGAGUCCGGGAGAGGUGAGUGGAACUGCGAGUGUAGAGGUGAAAUUCGUAGAUAUUCGCAAGAACACCAGUGGCGAAGGCGGCUCACUGGCCCGGUACUGACGCUGAGGUGCGAAAGCGUGGGGAGCAAACAGG